AAAAAAAAAAAACAAAACAAAACCCUACGAUCUCGACGCUCUCGACACUGUCUCUCCACACUCAGUUCUCUCUCUCGAACCCUCUCUCUUAGUCCUCUGAGCCAAAAGCUCAGAGCUUUCCCUUAAUCCUCUCAUCCAAAACCCUCAAAUUUCAAAUCCCCUAAUCUUCAUCUCAUCCAAUUGCUUCCCCAAUUUGAAUCUCAACCUUCAAUUCAACUCUACCAUCACCAGUUUGCCGUCUUUUGCUACCAAAAUGGCAUUCCCUGGCUGUUGUUACCCUUUUCUAGGUCGUCUUUCUUCAUCUCCAAGACCGCACUGUACCAAAAUCUUCACCUUCCUAUUUCAAUUGGCUCUUAUGGCGAUCUUCGUCUCCCUAGGGUUUUAUGGCUUCGUGGCCCAAAAUCUAGCCUCCUCUGCCAAUAUUCAUGUCAGUAAUUGCUGCGGCAUCCACAAGUGCAGGGUUAGGUCUCUGCUAUUUGGCACUAACCAGUGAACGGAGUUGAGAGAAUCCUAUAUGCUAUAUCCUGGAUUUAGCUUGCUGGCAAUUUCACAGAAUGCUAUAUGCUUAGUGAUUAGUGUCUUGGAUGUGGGGUUCAAUGGGGUUUUUAGCGACUUAAAAGGCCCAGGAACUUGGCUGCUGUCAGAUGGGUUGGUGGUGUUGAGUUAGAAAAAAUUGCAAUAGCUACCGGUUAUUGAAUGUUUCAAUAUUUGAAUACUCUCUCUUUCUUUCUUUCUUUCUUUUUUUCAAUAGAGAAAAAAAAUGCUAAUGGUUGUGUAUUUGUAGGGGGAAGAAUUGUGCCCAUGUUCUAAGAGUUGACACUGGUUAAGUUGGCAGAGGUAUACCUCUUUAACAAAUGACCCAACAUUCGUUUUCUAUUUCAAAGAUCAUCCAAGUCAAAUCACAACAAAUCUUGUAGUCUCUAUUGGUGUAUCAUCUAACUUUAUGGCUGGUGUAUCAUUUAUCUGUAGUGGCCUAUGAUAGUAGUGAGAACUGAGGUUCUCCUAUUGGAAAAUAUAAUCUUAGAGGUAAACAGUUGCCUUGUUAUUUUAUGUACUUUUUUGUAUCAUUUUCAAGAUGUUAAGACCCAUUAUUUUGGUAUUAAUAUGAAGUUACUGAAGUAGUUUUUUUGCUAUGGUUGAUGUGGGAAAGGGUUAACUGUGUCUUUAUCCUUCUCUGUUCGUGACACAUAAUUGUAGAAACUUUUCCAACAAUCUUCAUUCUGGGAGCUGUGCCACAGAAUACUUUUAGCAUAAAUAUGUAAAUGUGUACACUUUGCUUGAUAUUUUUGUUUGUACGUAUGAAGGUUUGUUCUUUGUUAUUGUUGUUUCUAUAUCCCUAUACCAGUAUCUGUGUGUGUUGUUAUUAACUAGAUUUCCCAACUUUAUUGCUUGGUAGCUCAAUAGAAAAUAGUUGAUUCAGCCUUCAAACAUUUAAAACCAAUUGCAGGUGCUGGGCAGCAAAGGGUGAAGUGUUUAGUGAAUGUGAAAGAUUUUCCAAAUAUUAUCGUUCGCUUAAUUAGCCCUGGUGAAUGGAAGGAGAGAGGUGAAUAAGAAAGUGCUUAAAGUUCCUAGAAUUGAACAGAAGGUGAUGGUCAUAAGAAACAUAUAAGCAAGGCCAAGGUCAUGAAGGCGGGAUUGAUAUUUACUAUCAAAGCUCCUCUUCAUGCCUCAAAUGUGCAAGUUGUUGAUCCAGUAACAGGGAGACCUUGUAAGUGUGGGGUUAAAUAUCUUGAGGAUGGAACAAAAGUUGAGAGUAGCAAGAGGCACAGGAGCAUCAGGAUCUAUAGCUAUGAAAAAAGUGAAGGGCACAAGACCUUGCGAUUGCAGGUUUGAUCACUCCAUCUAAAGCUAUGAAGAAAAGUGAAGGGUUCAGGUUCUGAAACCCAAGUUUUAUGUAAACAUUGCGCAAAAAUUCAAACUUACCUCAUGUUGGAGUUUUAUCAACUUUGAUCGAACUCAAACUUCUUCUUUGGAAACAUUGUAUUCAUGUAUAGCUAGCCAACAAUGCUUUCUUGUUUGGUACAUUAUCUAGCUACAUGAAUGUAUGGAUGUUUGAAAAAUGGUAAUUGAAUGAUAUGAAUUACAGUACUGUUUA